AUCCAGCUAACGAGUCCCAAAUAGAACGAAAUACGUGUCCUGGAU
rnacentral:hammerhead_ribozyme from 1 species